GGGUUGUGAGGUUAAGCGACUAAGCGUACACGGUGGAUGCCCUGGCAGUCAGAGGCGAUGAAGGACGUGCUAAUCUGCGAAAAGCGUCGGUAAGGUGAUAUGAACCGUUAUAACCGGCGAUGUCCGAAUGGGGAAACCCAGUGCAAUUCGUUGCACUAUCGUUAACUGAAUACAUAGGUUAACGAGGCGAACCGGGGGAACUGAAACAUCUAAGUACCCCGAGGAAAAGAAAUCAACCGAGAUUCCCCCAGUAGCGGCGAGCGAACGGGGAGCAGCCCAGAGUCUGAAUCAGCUUGUGUGUUAGUGGAACGGUCUGGAAAGUCCGACGGUACAGGGUGAUAGUCCCGUACACCAAAAUGCACAGGCUGUGAACUCGAAGAGUAGGGCGGGACACGUGGUAUCCUGUCUGAAUAUGGGGGGACCAUCCUCCAAGGCUAAAUACUCCUGACUGACCGAUAGUGAACCAGUACCGUGAGGGAAAGGCGAAAAGAACCCCGGCGAGGGGAGUGAAAAAGAACCUGAAACCGUGUACGUACAAGCAGUGGGAGCACCUUCGGGUGUGACUGCGUACCUUUUGUAUAAUGGGUCAGCGACUUAUAUUCUGUAGCAAGGUUAACCGUAUAGGGGAGCCGCAGGGAAACCGAGUCUUAACUGGGCGUUAAGUUGCAGGGUAUAGACCCGAAACCCGGUGAUCUAGCCAUGGGCAGGUUGAAGGUUGGGUAACACUAACUGGAGGACCGAACCGACUAAUGUUGAAAAAUUAGCGGAUGACUUGUGGCUGGGGGUGAAAGGCCAAUCAAACCGGGAGAUAGCUGGUUCUCCCCGAAAGCUAUUUAGGUAGCGCCUCGUGAACUCAUCUUCGGGGGUAGAGCACUGUUUCGGCUAGGGGGUCAUCCCGACUUACCAACCCGAUGCAAACUACGAAUACCGAAGAAUGUUAUCACGGGAGACACACGGCGGGUGCUAACGUCCGUCGUGAAGAGGGAAACAACCCAGACCGCCAGCUAAGGUCCCAAAGUCAUGGUUAAGUGGGAAACGAUGUGGGAAGGCACAGACAGCCAGGAUGUUGGCUUAGAAGCAGCCAUCAUUUAAAGAAAGCGUAAUAGCUCACUGGUCGAGUCGGCCUGCGCGGAAGAUGUAACGGGGCUAAACCAUGCACCGAAGCUGCGGCAGCGACACUAUGUGUUGUUGGGUAGGGGAGCGUUCUGUAAGCCUGCGAAGGUGUGCUGUGAGGCAUGCUGGAGGUAUCAGAAGUGCGAAUGCUGACAUAAGUAACGAUAAAGCGGGUGAAAAGCCCGCUCGCCGGAAGACCAAGGGUUCCUGUCCAACGUUAAUCGGGGCAGGGUGAGUCGACCCCUAAGGCGAGGCCGAAAGGCGUAGUCGAUGGGAAACAGGUUAAUAUUCCUGUACUUGGUGUUACUGCGAAGGGGGGACGGAGAAGGCUAUGUUAGCCGGGCGACGGUUGUCCCGGUUUAAGCAUGUAGGCUGGUUAUCCAGGCAAAUCCGGAUAAUCAAGGCUGAGGUGUGAUGACGAGGCACUACGGUGCUGAAGUAACAAAUGCCCUGCUUCCAGGAAAAGCCUCUAAGCAUCAGGUAACAUCAAAUCGUACCCCAAACCGACACAGGUGGUCAGGUAGAGAAUACCAAGGCGCUUGAGAGAACUCGGGUGAAGGAACUAGGCAAAAUGGUGCCGUAACUUCGGGAGAAGGCACGCUGGUGUGUAGGUGAAGCCCCUGCGGGUGGAGCUGAGACCAGUCGAAGAUACCAGCUGGCUGCAACUGUUUAUUAAAAACACAGCACUGUGCAAACACGAAAGUGGACGUAUACGGUGUGACGCCUGCCCGGUGCCGGAAGGUUAAUUGAUGGGGUUAUCCGUAAGGAGAAGCUCUUGAUCGAAGCCCCGGUAAACGGCGGCCGUAACUAUAACGGUCCUAAGGUAGCGAAAUU
rnacentral:rRNA from 1 species